rnacentral:lncRNA from 1 species
CACUGAUGUUGCAGUCCUCCUGGACAACGAGGCUAUCUAUGACAUAUGCAGGAGGUCCCUUGACAUCGAAAGGCCAACCUAUACCAACUUGAACAGGCUGAUCUCACAGAUCAUAUCAUCACUUACCACCUCCCUGAGGUUUGAUGGGGCUAUCAAUGUGGAUGUUACUGAGUUCCAGACCAACCUUGUUCCAUACCCACGUAUUCAUUUCAUGCUUUCCUCAUAUGCCCCUGUAAUAUCUGCUGAGAAGGCCUACCAUGAGCAGCUCUCUGUGCCUGAAAUCACCAAUGCUGUAUUUGAGCCCUCAAGCAUGAUGGCCAAGUGUGACCCAAGGC